AGGGAUACAUAUAAUAGUUCAAGGUGUGUAAGAACAAAGAGUCAAUGGACUUCAAUCCAUCAACUAUUAGUAACCACCUCAAGCAAAAUAAUAAAUAAAACAAAAUGAUAAAGUAAUUACAUGAAAAUAAAAAUGAAAAAAAUAAAAAAAAUAAAAAAAAAUAGAAAAGGCAGCGUAAAAGCUUUCUCAUUCUUCACAAAAG
rnacentral:lncRNA from 1 species